rnacentral:rRNA from 1 species
AUGAACGCUGGCGGCAUGCCUUACACAUGCAAGUCGAACGGCAGCGCGGGAGCAAUCCUGGCGGCGAGUGGCGAACGGGUGAGUAACAUAUCGGAACGUGCCCUGGAGUGGGGGAUAACUAGUCGAAAGAUUAGCUAAUACCGCAUACGAUCUACGGAUGAAAGUGGGGGAUUCGCAAGAACCUCAUGCUCGUGGAGCGGCCGAUAUCUGAUUAGCUAGUUGGUAGGGUAAAAGCCUACCAAGGCGACGAUCAGUAGCUGGUUUGAGAGAACGACCAGCCACACUGGGACUGAGACACGGCCCAGACUCCUACGGGAGGCAGCAGUGGGGAAUUUUGGACAAUGGGGGCAACCCUGAUCCAGCAAUGCCGCGUGUGUGAAGAAGGCCUUCGGGUUGUAAAGCACUUUUGUCAGGGAAGAAACGGUGAGGGCUAAUAUCCUUUGCUAAUGACGGUACCUGAAGAAUAAUCACCGGCUANCUACGUGCCCGCAGCCGCGGUAA